AUGCCUAACACAUGCAAGUCGAACGCACUCUUCGGAGUGAGUGGCGCACGGGUGAGUAACGCGUGGGAACCUGCCCCGAGGUACGGAAUAACGGCUGGAAACGGCCGCUAAUACCGUUUGUGUCCUGAGGGAGAAAGAUUUAUCGCCUUGGGAGGGGCCCGCGUCCGAUUAGCUAGUUGGUGAGGUAAUGGCUCACCAAGGCAGUGAUCGGUAGCUGGUCUGAGAGGAUGAUCAGCCACACUGGGACUGAGACACGGCCCCAGACUCC
rnacentral:rRNA from 1 species